GCUGCCACCACCUGUGUUUCAGGUACACAGGAAACCUCAAUAGACUAGAAUUACUAGUCUAAAACAAAACGGAGAAUGGUUUAAACGCGGGUGUACUUUAUAUUCGGAAGUUAUUAUCUAAGGUGGAAGAGUUCAAUUAGGUUGAAGGGAUUAAAACACCUCACUAUCUUUAACCUCAAGAAUUAAACGUAUAAAUAUUUAAAUCGGGGGAGGAGAUAAAAAUUGUAAGGGGG
rnacentral:lncRNA from 1 species